rnacentral:rRNA from 1 species
UUCCGGUUGAUCCCGCCGGACCUGACUGCUAUCGGAUUGAUACUAAGCCAUGCGAGUCAUUGUAGCAAUACAAGGCAGACGGCUCAGUAACGCGUAGUCAACCUACCCUAUGGACGGGGAUAACCUCGGGAAACUGAGAAUAAUACCCGAUAGAACAUUAUGCCUGGAAUGGUUUAUGUUUCAAAUAAUUUAUUGCCGUAGGAUGGGACUGCGGCCUAUCAGUUUGUUGGUGAGGUAAUGGCCCACCAAGACUAUUACAGGUACGGGCUCUGAGAGGAGUAGCCCGGAGAUGGGUACUGAGACACGGACCCAGGCCCUAUGGGGCGCAGCAGGCGAGAAAACUUUGCAAUGUGCGAAAGCACGACAAGGUUAAUCCGAGUGAUUUCUGCUAGAGGAAUCUUUUGUCAGUCCUAGAAACACUGUUGAAUAAGGGGUGGGCAAGUUCUGGUGUCAGCCGCCGCGGUAAAACCAGCACCUCAAGUGGUCAGGAUGAUUAUUGGGCCUAAAGCAUCCGUAGCCUGCUUUGUCAGUUUUCGGUUAAAUCCAUACGCUCAACGUAUGGGCUGCCGGAAAUACUGCAAAGCUAGGGAGUGGGAGAGGUAGACGGUACUCGGGAGGAAGGGGUAAAAUCCUUUGAUCUCUCGAUGACCACCUGUGGCGAAGGCGGUCUACCAGAACACGUCCGACGAUGAGGGAUGAAAGCUGGGGGAGCAAACCGGAUUAGAUACCCGGGUAGUCCCAGCUGUAAACUAUGCAAACUCAGUGAUGCAUUGGCUUGAUGCCAAUGCAGUGUUGCAGGGAAGCCGUUAAGUUUGCCGCCUGGGAAGUACGUACGCAAGUAUGAAACUUAAAGGAAUUGGCGGGGGAGCACCACAAGGGGUGAAGCCUGCGGUUCAAUUGGAUUCAACGCCGG